AGUCCUACGGGACGCAGCAGUGGGGAAUAUUGCACAAUGGGGGAAACCCUGAUGCAGCGACGCCGCGUGAGUGAAGAAGUAUUUCGGUAUGUAAAGCUCUAUCAGCAGGGAAGAAGUGGACGGUACCUGAGUAAGAAGCCCCGGCUAACUACGUGCCAGCAGCCGCGGUAAUACGUAGGGGGCAAGCGUUAUCCGGACUUACUGGGUGUAAAGGGAGCGUAGACGGCAGGGCAAGUCUGAAGUGAAAGCCCCGGGCUUAACC
rnacentral:rRNA from 1 species